rnacentral:rRNA from 1 species
UACAGAGGUCUCAAGCGUUGUUCGGAUUCAUUGGGCGUAAAGGGUGCGUAGGCGGCGCGGUAAGUCGGGGUGUGAAAUCUCGGGGCUUAACUCCGAAACUGCAUUCGAUACUGCCGUGCUUGAGGACUGGAGAGGAGACUGGAAUUUACGGUGUAGCGGUGAAAUGCGUAGAUAUCGUAAGGAAGACCAGUGGCGAAGGCGGGUCUCUGGACAGUUCCUGACGUGAGGCACGAAGGCCAGGGGAGCAAACGGG